GGGUAUGGUAUAAACAGGCUGAUUCUGAAGCAAAUAGUUUCUGAAUUUUGUUUAUUUCCAACUGGAAGUGGGCUGAGAGCCAAGGCAAGUCUAUAUUUAUUUUAGAGAUAGUUGAAAUUUUUCUUGGUUGCAUUCAUUUUUCAGGGAGAAACGUUCCCAUACUCUGAUUUUCUUAUUCUGAAAAUGUCUGGGGAAGAAUUGUGCCAACAGUUAAAGAUAAUACUGGGAAGCUUCCUUGUCCCGGCCCAGGCACCCGUGGAGCAUCCCCUCCAUCAACUGGAUUGCCAUCUCCUUCUGGAUGAGGAUCACUAACUCAUAGUGAUUUCUUAUAGUCAUCAUUCGUUCAGUGUGAAGUGAUGUUUGUCUGUGUCCUGAAAUUCUGCAAAGGCAUUUAUGGAGCCCAGCCUGCUGCAGGCAGUCAUCCAGCCACAAGUCCAGGGUAUGGAUAAGCUUCAAGGACAAGGAAUGGGUGCUCUGGACAAGUGAGGCAUGUGCAGAACACGGAGAAAAAGCCUUGCCCCUAGAGUAGGAUUCAGUGGAUUCAGUUCACAACUCUCAGUCUGGAUGUGACCUAUACAUGAUAUUUCUUUUUGAAAAAAGUUAUGAAUUAUAAAAGUUUUUUAAUUGUUGGUAAUUAAAAUUUUCUGCAAUAAAAAAUAUAUAUAUUGGAUUUGCACCUAAAAAAUUAUACCUAAAAAUAUAAAUCUAUUAUAUAUCACCAAUAAAAUCCACUCUCUGUAACAGUGCAAGGUUUUACUGUUUAAUAAUUGUAGUCUCAGAGUUGGAUACAUAUAGACAUACAAAGAUUUAGAUAAACAGGGAAAAUCUCUAACAACCUUCCAAGAACUCAGUCUAUUUUACAUUAUUUUAAUGAAAUAGCAAUUAAUAUUUCAUGCAGUCUUUUCACAAAGUAAAACAAAAUGUGGUAUACGAAUACAAUUUUCUGGAAUUUAUAGAAGCUCUGACAAUUUGUUUCACAUUUGCUCCUAAUAUGCAACAUAGUAAGAAUUUAUUUUUCUAAUUUAUUUCUAUGACAAUUAAAAUUGUAUAUACUUAC
rnacentral:lncRNA from 10 species